UUUUUUUUUUUUCUUUGAGGAAAGUCAAUUCCAUGAAAAGGACCCAAAACCAACCCAAAAAAGGAAAACAGCUUUACAGAAUGGUCGGGGUCAGAAGGGACUGCUGGUAAUGAAGCAAUAGAGCACGUACCCCAGGGCUGCGUCCAUGUGGGACCUCUCCAGGCAGCCGCUGCAAUGCUCCUUCACUGGCACAGCAACGUUUCCCAUCACGUUCAGAUGGAGCUUUCGUCACCAUUUCUUAUAAAAGGGCUCUUUCUGUCCACCGUGUCUUUUGCAGACAGCAGCUGUGUGUGGCUGACGGAAGCCCUCUGACUGCUGGCAAUGUUGCAACAGCUUUUCCUCGGUUGAUAUCACUGGGCCCUUCAAUCUGUUGGGUUCUACGUCUUCCUCUUUUGACCAUUUUGUUUUGGUUGCCCCACACGCUCCACCGGUUUGUAUGAGGGUGUCGGUGUCAGCUGCUUCUGGCUGAAACAUAAUCCUGGCAGCUCAGUUAGUCGAGACCAUCACUCAUACCCAGUUCAGCAUUUGAAUUGAUAUAAACCAUUUCCAGCAUCUUUUUUUCACCUCAGUAAUGGCAGUAAUGAUAACAAAAGGUGUUUUUCUGCUCUGGAGGAAAAGAGCAAUUGCAUUCACCUUCCUGUCAGCAAGCUGAGCCCAGAGGAUUGUGGCAACUUCCUCUGAUGCAAGUCCUCUGCUCUGCCUGCUGUCCAUUCGCACCUUUAGAGCUUCAGGGGGACAAAAACUAAAAUGUGGGCCCUGGCUGACCACGCUCUGUGCUGUGCUCCAUGCUGGCCCAGUGGGAUCCGCUGGUGAGGAGCUCCCAUCUCCACGCCCUCUGUGCUGCCACAGCUGUCCUCAUCUGCAUGCCAAGGCCCUGCUGGGCAGGACCCCUCCAUGCUGGGACUCAGUCAGUGGUCAGAGGGGACUCCCAAUGAGGGCUGUGUGCCUCAGAGCCCCGGUGGUGUGACAACCUUCAGCUGCCGUGGGGAAGUGAGGGCUGAGCGCAGAUGGGAAUGAAGCACUUUCAAUGUGUGUGGAAACCAGCGGUUCCCAGGGCCGUUGGCCUUGUCCCCCUACAGGCAGUGCUGGCAGGAGGAAGUGAAAACACUGGGCGUGAUUGAUUCCACUCAUUUAUUCAGCUUUUGGGCUGACGAAGCCCUGACAGCUGCUUUUUGCCUCCUGCAGCUGCUCUGUGACUUCCUAUGGGCAUCCCCGGCCCUCUUGGGCCCACUGCAUGUGCCAGCCUCCUCCGCUCCCCUGAGCGCCAUGGGAUGAAAUCAGGCUCAAGGCUGAGCUGCCAGGAGAGCGUAGCAGAUGUCAUUGUCCCCAAAGCAGAGCCACUCAGCCCCAGGGCCCAUCAUCAGCUGGCCUGGGGAUGUCUUUCCCUCUCCUCACUCCCCACACAGCUCUUCUUCAUCCCUGAAGGUCCGCUCCUGGCCCAGCUCCUUCCUCCUUGACUCCAACCGGCCAUUGCAGCCAAGGCCUGGCUCCUCGCUGCAGCUCAGCAGCCUGCAGGCCGGCUCACAGAGGCUUCUUCCAGGCAAGACGCAGUGUGGUUCUGAGCUGACCAUGGGACCACCACCAUGCUUACAGUCCCCACGUCCAGGGCUGGACACCUCCAUGACCAUUUGUAUUUUCUCAAACUUCCCACAGAGAUUGGAAGUCUGUGUCCUCAGACGUCCUGUGACAGACAGCAUCCCUCUGCAGCGUGCUGCCCUGUGUUGCUCAGGUGCCAUGAGGAUCAGGGGCAGCCGGACCAGCAGCUCACAACAGCAUCCCAAAAAGUGCCUGUGAGCAGAGCUAUGCAAGUGCUGGGUUUCCUCUAUGCUGACUCUGCUUUGUUGUUUGUUUUUCACAUCUGUGAAUGGCAACCUCAGCAAAGAGCAGGAACAGUCUUCAGUAUCUUCUCCAACCGCGUUCAUUGCUCCUGAGCUUGGAAGUAACUCUGUGGUAUUGGUUUUGCUGGCUUUACUGGUUAUCACUGCUCCCUUUAGGCCACUGUACAUUUCUGACCAUUUCAUUUUCCUCUAUGACCUUUUAUAUUUAAACAUAUUUU
ensembl:lncRNA